AUUGAACGCUGGCGGCAGGCUUAACACAUGCAAGUCGAACGAGUGGCGGACGGGUGAGUAAUGCUUGGGAAUCUAGCUUAUGGAGGGGGAUAACUACGGGAAACUGUAGCUAAUACCGCGUACCAUAGGAUGAGCCCAAGUGGGAUUAGGUAGUUAGCGAGGUAAAGGCUCACCAAGCCGACGACCUUUAGCUGGUCUGAGAGGAUGACCAGCCACACGGGGACUGAGCAACGGCCCAGACUCCUACGGGAGGCAGCAGUGGGGAAUAUUGCGCAAUGGGGGCAACCUGACGCAGCCAUGCCGCGUGAAUGAAGAAGGCCGUCGGGGUGUAAAGUUCUUUCGGUAGCGAGGCGUUAACUACAGAAGAAGCACCGGCUAACUCCGUGCCAGGAGACGCGGUAAUUC
rnacentral:rRNA from 1 species